GGUCUUCUGUGACCCAGUGAAACAUUAAAAGAACUUGGUAAGUACGUAUAAUCACAAGGUUGAGAACCACUGGGUGACUUUGCAUGUCAGAUUUUGUCCUCUAAAGAGAAAUACCUUGAUCUGGCUUCAACAAGGCUGCAUUGUUUGCAGUCUGACGUAGAACACUUUGUGCAGGAGACUUGACAUAAGUAAACUGUAGUGAGGUGCCUUUACCUUUUCACUCUGAUAACUAGAGCGGUCGUGUGAUGCUGGAAGAUAAGUGCUGAUCCCCCCCAGUCUUUUUCCUGCAUGUAAAUUUGGAGGACUUCUACAUUACCCAUGCUGAUUCCUCCAAGUCUCUGCAACUUCCAUUUACAAUAUCAUCAUCUUUGAAUGCAUGACCCAUAAAAAAUAAAACACGCUGGUUCUCAUGAGGUCAUCUCAGAGCAACUCUGAACCACAGGCAUUGGUCUGGAAGAAUAUUUGGGGGACAAUUAUUUCGGGAGGCAAAAAAAAAAAAAAAGAAAGCCCCUCCAGUGUUGUUUCCUGCAAAGACUAUUCUUAAGAGCCCGUUGGACAGCGCGGGGCUCUUGAAGUGAUAGCUAAUUGGCGAAAGAAAGGCCCUGAUUGUCUUGAGGGAGCUGGAAAGUGCUGCGUGUGCUGCUGAAAGGGACUAGGGAGAAGGUGCCCGGUUUCGCUGAGCAGCUGCUGCUGGAGAUGUUUGGAGAUUACAUCAGCAUUGGAAAAAAGGGGCAAAAAAAAAAAAAAGGCCCCAACUUCACAGAGACGGAGUUUAUGGAGUUUUUUUUCCCUUCCAAAGGUCUUCUGACAAUACUGUCAUUGUCAAUAUAAGAGUUGUUAAUUCUUUAUGAAUAGCACAUGGGGCCUCUUGACUAAAUAGUACGUUACAUGUCCCAAAUCUGUCAGCUGGACUCUUCUCUCACAUGCUAGUGAGAUCACUUUGAUUGGAAUGUUACAGGAAUUGCUGGACUGGCCACACAGUGCUGAAUACUGCAUUAUAUAAUUAGAUCUCCCAGGGUAUUUUUUCACAUUACCUCAUUAUUCUUGCUUAAAUAUGGAAUCGGGCCUUUUGAUGAUUUUACUGGUCAUAAUUAUAUUAAUACGAUUCAUUUUAUGGUCUUGUCUCAGCGUUUAUAUAGAUUAUAAACUGUCCCGAAGAUUUCCUGACAAGACAAAAGAGGAGUAAGAUCUUUCAAAGGGCUUGCGUACAUUUUAACUGACAAGGGGUGAGGCCUGGACAAUGUCAUGGAACAGGGGCACGGUUUACCUUUAGGACCAGAGAUGACCAGAAUGACCUUGCUUAGGCAAGAGCCCUGUGAGCAUUCUGCAGGAGGUCUCACAUUUACAGAAGGAAAAACUACAACUGAUCGAGUCAAAUGACUUAUCGAAGUAGGGCAAAGUAGUUGCGUCUGGAACAUGCUUGUCAAUUAAAUGAUCUGGACAGGCUGGAAGAAAUCCUAUUGUUGGGAAAGCCCAGGACAGCCGAAGCCCUGGUCUUGAUAAGUGAAAUGUGACAGCUUACUGCUUGCUGGACAGACUACUGAUCUGCAUUUAAAAAUGCCAGCUGCAGAGGCCGCCUGUGUGCAACAACUGACCAGUGUCCACUUAACUAUGAAGAUGAGUUUCCAGGCUCAGCUGUACUUGUAUGCUACCAAACAACAGAAGGAAUUGUUUUACCUGCCUGGCUCCUUCAUGGAUAAAUUCCCCUUGUAGCUUCUUCCAUUGACUUAUGCCUGAACCUGGCUGAAUGAAUAUAUUAAUUAACUCUAUUAUUCAAUGAAUGUUUAUAUGAAUAUUAGGAAUAGCUAGCUGACUGCUACCAGCACAGUAGUCACUGGAAUAAGUUGUUCCAUGAAAACCAGCACUAUGCAUCAAUCGGCUGGUAUAGCAGGAAGAAAGGGAUCACAUAGCUAUAAUGCAACUUGGCAUACAAGCAGGAUAGCCCAUCAUGGUGAUAAUGGGGAUCAAGAGGUAUUCAGUUACUUACACAAGGCCACAAAGGUAAAUCAAUAAAGCAGCCAGGUUUGAAUCCAGAAUUUUUCUAGUUCUCAGCUUUAUGUUUGACCCCAUAUAUGAACUGGGAGAGGAGCAACCAGUUUUUAUUUUUGACCUCCAAGUGGAUGUUGCAUUGCAUAAACUAUUUAGAAUUUGAAGGGCAAAAGUAGUGCUUCUACAUGUGGCACAAUUUAACUUAAAUCGGGGGGAGCUGAACCCAUGGCUGGCAGGCCAUUUUCAGCCCACCAAGUCAUGUCAUUUGGCCUGAAGGGCUGCCCAGGGGUUUGAAAAUUUGGUGGUGGGGGAAUGGUGGCAGUGUUAAUUGCUGCUCCCCAGCUAUCAAAUUUCUGGACCCAGGGUGAGCCUUGUGUGUGGAUAGUGUGUGGGGCCCAGUGUGCUAAGUCAGGGGUAUGCUAAGCUGGGGUGGUGCAGGGCCCAGUCCUGGCAUGCAAGGCUGGCAUGGCAUAGGACCUGAUCCAGGCAGCAGGAGGCAGGAUCCAGGUGUGCAGGGACUAACUUGGUCAGUCUGAGGUGGGAUCUGGUGCACGGGGGUCAACUCCAUGCAGCAACCUGCAUGGGAUCUAGCUCUAUCCCAUUCAUCUGGCUCAAAGGGCUGAAAGGCUGAGCACUGUUGAUUUUAAAUCAAUUACUUAAAGUAAAAUUAGGUUUACCUUUUUUUGCAGUCUAAAGAUCAAAAUUGAAAUUCAAUAUCCUUGGCCCAAGACACCUUAAGAAAAAUUCCAGACUUAGUUCUUCAUUUUUUGUCAUAAAUAAAAAUGAACACUACUACUUCUUAGAAUGACUUCCAGAUCUCUUGAUAGCUCACAUGAUGAUAUCAGAAUUCAGUCUAGCUAAAACCUUGGCACACCCAUAGAGAGCAUCUCACCCUCUUGUGACUCUUGCACACUGCCAAAGCCUGGCUCAUCAUCAGCGACUACAAACAAGCCCCUAUCAUUUGUCUUCUGAGACCUCCUAAAAUCCACAGUUGGGAAGCAGUACAAUAUCUAUGUCAUGACUUUUUUCCUCUUCAAUGGAAUGUGAAGGGUAAAUGUGAGAACAAUUGAUCUCAGCCUCACACUGACAAAUCUGAGGAAAAGUCUAUGGUAUCUACAGACACUUUUGUCAACUGGAAAUCCUGCCGGUUAAUUGGAAAUUAACUAGGAAAUUCUAUACCUUUCCAAGUGCCCAUGCCAAUUUCUGUGCUUCCAGAGGAAACUGAUUGCCUUACCGUAAAGAGAAAGGUGAAAAUGGACUAUCCAUAAUAUGCUGAUAUGUACACAAAGUAGGCAAGCUGAAAAAAUAGAUGAAUCUUUUACCUUUUGUGAUCUCAGGUGUUAGCUAUAAGAAAAGCAAGCAAAGAUCAUUUACACCGAAGUUUGUUUUAAUUUGAGGAUGUUCUUUUUUAAAAAUAUGUUUAUAUAUUGCAAUUAAUAUGUUUAAUUGAUCUUUUAGGCCUCUUGUUGCAUACAUUUUAGAAUUCUGUACUUCAAUGAAUUAAAAUAUGGAUUUGAUGAGAAAUUUUAGUAAGGAGGUUUCAGAUAAUGUCUCUUAUUUGUUCAUAUGGGGAAAGCUAGCAUGUGGGACUGGCAUUAAGGGUCAGAUUCUGGUACCCUUAAUCCUAUUGAAUACCAUCAUACUCUGCAAGUUACUAUAUAUUUACAUAAGUAAGAGUAUACCAGUCCGGUUACAGACUUUAUCCUAAUUCAGGCGAUAUUAUCAUUGAUCUCUGUAGAACAGUGUAUUUGCAUGGGUUAACUGCAUGAAGUCAAAAGAAUGCUACAAUGGAUGAGUGACCACAAUCAUUCUCUUUAACAGCUUCUGAGGAAAGAGAAGAAUUGUGGAUGAACUUGUUGACUGGAGUGUAACCAAUUGUCUGUAGUAGUAGUGGUUUGGCUCUCUUGGUGCUUCUGUGUUAAGUUUUGUUUGUGGUUUGCAUGGGAGAGAUUAAUUUCACCAUAACUG